CCUUAAAGUUUUCCAAGAUUCAUCAUUUGGUGAAAGCCACGAGCAUCAAAGUAGUGAAUGGUAGAUGUUGGGAUGGUGAAGUCGGCCAUGAUGCCUGAGCUGGAGAAGACAGACUGGUCUGGCAGCAUUGGGGAGAAGAUGAUAUGGACACAGGUCUCUCCCCUCUGUAUCCUGGUGUGGAUGGGCGCAAGUCACCCUCACCUGUAUGGGCAUGCAUGUGGCACGGAGAGCUCAGCAGAGAGAACAGCCAUGAAUG
rnacentral:lncRNA from 1 species